GCGAUCAUACCCGCACUAAUGCACCGGAUCCCAUCAGAACUCCGCAGU
rnacentral:rRNA from 1 species